rnacentral:rRNA from 1 species
CCUACGGGUGGCUGCAGUGAGGAAUAUUGGUCAAUGGCCGCGAGGCUGAACCAGCCAAGUCGCGUGAGGGAAGACGGCCCUAUGGGUUGUAAACCUCUUUUGUCGGGGAGCAAAGCGAGCCACGUGUGACUCUUUGAGAGUACCUGAAGAAAAAGCAUCGGCUAACUCCGUGCCAGCAGCCGCGGUAAUACGGAGGAUGCGAGCGUUAUCCGGAUUUAUUGGGUUUAAAGGGUGCGUAGGCGGACGAGUAAGUCAGCGGUAAAAUUGCGGGGCUCAACCCCGUACUGCCGUUGAAACUGCAUCCCUUGAGUGCGCGAGAAGUAUGCGGAAUGCGUGGUGUAGCGGUGAAAUGCAUAGAUAUCACGCAGAACUCCGAUUGCGAAGGCAGCAUACCGGCGCGCAACUGACGCUCAUGCACGAAAGCGUGGGUAUCGAACAGGAUUAGAUACCCUUGUAGUC